CCUACGGGUGGCAGCAGUGGGGAAUAUUGCGCAAUGGGCGAAAGCCUGACGCAGCGACGCCGCGUGAGGGAUGAAGGUCUUCGGAUCGUAAACCUCUGUCAGCAGGGAAGAACGGUCACUGUGCUAAUCAGCAGUGAAUUGACGGUACCUGCAAAGGAAGCACCGGCUAACUCCGUGCCAGCAGCCGCGGUAAUACGGAGGGUGCGAGCGUUAAUCGGAAUUACUGGGCGUAAAGCGCUCGUAGGCGGUAUGUCAAGUCAAGGGUGAAAUCCCCGCGCUCAACGUGGGAACUGCCUUUGAAACUGGCAAACUGGAGUGUGUGAGAGGAGAGUGGAAUUCCAGGUGUAGGAGUGAAAUGCGUAGAUAUCUGGAGGAACAUCAGUGGCGAAGGCGACUAUCUGGCACAUAACUGACGCUGAGGAGCGAAAGCGUGGGUAGCAAACAGGAUUAGAUACCCGGGUAGUC
rnacentral:rRNA from 1 species